rnacentral:rRNA from 1 species
CCUACGGGUGGCAGCAGUAGGGAAUAUUGCUCAAUGGGGGCAACCCUGAAGCAGCAACGCCGCGUGGAGGAUGACGGUUUUCCGAUUGUAAACUUCUUUUGAUAGAGAAGAUAAUGACGGUAUCUUACGCAUAAGCACCUGCUAAAUCAGUGCCAGCAGCCGCGGUACGACGGAGGGUGCAAGCGUUACUCGGAAUCACUGGGCGUAACGGGCGCGUAGGCGGGGUAGUAAGUCAGAUGUGAAAUCCUAUGGCUGAACCAUAGAACUGCAAUUGAUACUGUUAUUCUAGAGUAUGGGAGAGGUAGGUGGAAUUCGUGGUGUAGGGGUAAAAUCCGUAGAGAUCAAGAGGAAUACUCAUUGCGAAGGCAGCCUGCUAGAACAUAACUGACGCUGAUGCGCGAAAGCGUGGGGAGCAAACAGGAUUAGAUACCCGAGUAGUC